AGGACGAACGCUGGCGGUGUGCUUAACACAUGCAAGUGGAGCGACGAACCAGGGCUUGCCCUGGGGCAGAGCCGCGAACGGGUGAGUAACACGUGGGUAACCUACCCCGAUGACUGGGACAACCCGAGGAAACUCGGGCUAAUACCGGAUAUGUCCGACUUUCACGAGGAAGUCGAGCAAAGGAAGCUUCGGCCUCCGCAUCGGGAGGGCCCGCGGCCCAUUAGCUAGUUGGUGGGGUAAUGGCCUACCAAGGCUGCGAUGGGUAGCUGGUCUGAGAGGACGAUCAGCCACACUGGGACUGAGACACGGCCCAGACUCCUACGGGAGGCAGCAGUGGGGAAUCUUGCGCAAUGCGCGAAAGCGUGACGCAGCAACACCGCGUGAGGGAAGACGGCCUUCGGGUUGUAAACCUCUUUCAGGAGGACGAAGGGCGGCCGGUGAAGUAGACCGUGACCGCUUGACGGUACCUCCACGAAGAACGCUCCGGCUAACUCGUGCCAGCAGCCGCGGUAAUCGUGA
rnacentral:rRNA from 1 species